UGGGGUGUAGCUCAGUGGCAGAGCACUUGCUUAGCAUGUUCGAGGCCCUAGGUUUGACCCCCAGCACCACAA
rnacentral:tRNA from 1 species